CGCGGGAUGGAGCAGUCCGGUAGCUCGUCGGGCUCAUAACCCGAAGGUCGUAGGUUCAAGUCCUACUCCCGCAACCA
rnacentral:tRNA from 1 species